CGUAGCGCAGCCCGGUAGCGCACUUGUCUGGGGGACAAGGGGUCGUGGGUUCGAAUCCCG
rnacentral:tRNA from 1 species